UCGCGCCUCAGACUGGGCAUUGUGCGGGCCUAAGGGAGCUGUGCCCGGCGGCUCGCCGGUGGUGUGGGCCAGGGUGGGGUCUAAAUCGCGGGAGUCCGACUUCCUGACUUUACAGAGGGGAAAUGGAGGUUCUGCGAGGUGGAGUGACCUGCCCUCGAGGCCAGAGCGUGACCAAGCCUGAGCUCUUAUCCAUCCAGUAGAAUUCGGGCGUCCGUGCCCCUGGGCAGCGGCUUACAUUUUUACCUCUGCGUCUGAUGGCUCCGGGACUGGGCUGUUAAGUCAGGAAUCCCAGUUGGUAAUUAUUACCUGUUAAUUACUACUAAGAUUGUCAGGUCAGGCUUAAUGGGCCUCCAUAAAGACUGGCUGGGGAUGGGAAUAUGAGGGAGGUGGGAGGGGCCCUUCACCACACUCCCAAGAGAUCUUGCGACAUCUGGGUCCGACCUAGGAACCCUGCACAGAACCCCUCCAUGGCUCUCAUCACACACUGGAUGGCGCCCAGUCCACCAGUUGGUGGAGGGCCCAUACAUUCCUUUCUUCUUUCCAGUGACACCCUCUCACCCUGUCUGAGCUUUGUCUUCCCAACUCCUUGCUGUCCUCUGGGCCUUAACAGGAGCUGGCUCCCUUCCCCCAGUGCCUACGGCUGGUCCUCAGAGAGGCCCCUCCCACUCACCUUGUUUCCAUUAUACCUGGAACCAUCCACAAUGCUAGGGCGGACCAUAAGUCCCAGCAGGGCAGGCUAUCUUGGGCCUGCUGGGUCUCCAGCUUCCUGCCUGGGGCCUAGCAUCCAAUAGUGAAAGUGAAAUCGCUCAGUCGUGUCCGACUCUUUGGGACCUCAUGGCCUGUAGCCUACCAGGCUUCUCCAUCCAUGGGAUUUUCCAGGCAAGAAUACUGGAGUGGGUUGUCAUUUAGCCAGUGUUAAAGGAGAGGACCGGUGGGUUGCUGUGGCACUUUCUGGCCUCAGUUUGUCUGACUGGCCUGUGGACAUGAACACCUGGUCUUCUGUUUCCCUUCCUCACCAGGCCGUGCCCCUAACUGGGCUGUGGAGCAAGAAGGCCUUGAGGGAGGCUGUCACCAUGAGCAAGAGGCCUGGCCUGGCUGGUGGAGAGGAAAACUGCUGAGUAAUGAAGAUCUCCCUGAUCAAUGUUGCUGCGCCCUGGCCUCCCUCUCCAGGAAUCGAGACGUCUAAGGGUUGUGGAAAAGGCUUUGCCCUUCUAGAGAGUUCUGGAGAACCUUGUGGAGUCUCUCCAUGGCAACAGGGAGGAAGCAAGCCCACCUCACCACACUUGACAGGGAUGUGGGCACUUGGGGACCUCCCACAGUCCUGCUGGCCAGAGAGGCAUAACCUGCUGGAGGUGUGUAGCAUGGAGGGAUGGGCCCCGGGGGUGCUUAUAGGGAUGGUUUUCCAAGGAACAGAGAAGGGACUGAGGGAGGAGAGAUGCAUGCCUGUAUUCCCCAAGUAUUUUUAGGCACUGAAUGCAGCCCUGAAAUAUUUCCACGGCCACUCCCAAGAGUGAGCUGGGUGACUAUUUUGGUGCCUGGUUCCAGCGGGGGCGGAGUGGGGGUGAGUCAUCCCUGGGUGGCUGGGCCCAGACCAGGAGGGGGGUCUCAGGGCAGGACCCAGGGCCUGUAAGGUGACAGCUUUCGGACCUGGGGCCAGGCAUCUGGUGUCGGCCUCCGGGGCACAGAGGACAGUAGCCUGGCCCCUCCCUGUGGCGUGGCACCAGCGCCCGGGUCCCCCCUGGCCAGUCAGUCACGCUGCCCCCCACAGCUUAUGGAGAUAAAGAGGGUCCCAGGUGAGGUUUCAGACAUUCCGCAGGUGCUCAGUGAGGCGCUUCUCCUGUGUUUUCAAGUAGGAAUGAGAGACUUCCCCAGAGGUCCAGCGGUUAAGACUCUGCGCUUCCACUGCAGGGGGCACGAGUUAAUUCCCAGUAUGAAAAAGAAAAUUUUUUUUUAAAAGCAAGUAUGGAAAAAUAA